rnacentral:rRNA from 1 species
AACGCUGGCGGCGUGCCUAAUACAUGCAAGUCGAACGGCUUUUCUAUGGAAGCUUGCUUCCACUGAGAAGAUAGUGGCGAACGGGUGAGUAACACGUGGGUAACCUGCCCAUAAGAGGGGGAUAACAUCCGGAAACGGGUGCUAAUACCGCAUAGUUUUCUUGAUCGCAUGAUCGGGAAAGGAAAGACGGCCUUUGUGCUGUCGCUUAUGGAUGGACCCGCGGCGUAUUAGUUAGUUGGUGAGGUAACGGCUCACCAAGACGAUGAUACGUAGCCGACCUGAGAGGGUGAUCGGCCACAUUGGGACUGAGACACGGCCCAAACUCCUACGGGAGGCAGCAGUAGGGAAUCUUCCGCAGUGGACGAAAGUCUGACGGAGCAACGCCGCGUGAGUGAAAGAAGGUUUUCGGAUCGUAAAACUCUGUUGUCAGAGAAGAACAAGUUGGAGAGUAACUGCUCCAGCCUUGACGGUAUCUGACCAGAAAGCCACGGCUAACUACGUGCCAGCCGCCGC